rnacentral:lncRNA from 1 species
AGUGUGUGUGUGUGUUGUGUGUAUACAUAUAUUGAGCUAGGUUGGUAUACUAUCAGUACCACGCUGUUUUUAAUGAUGCGGUUUCCAAAUCGACGAUCGGCUCCGUUAGACUUGAUCUACACUAUUGAAAGUAUUUGGAAACUAAAUUUCAUAAUUUUUCGGUAUCUUUUACCCAUCAAAUGAGUAGUCUAAAAAUGAACAGUUGAAAAUAAAAAUCUCAUAAAAAAUGAUGAUAAAAGACUUGAAUUUAAGAUCAGAGAUAUUGAUCUUAUUCUAAAUAGUGAAAAAAAAUUUCUAUAAAAAUUUCAUUAGAUUUGAAUUGUUUUACACUGUUAAAUUCACAAACGCAUCACAUCUACCAUUAAAAUUGUCAAUUUGAAAACUUUUGAUCGCUAGCCAAAUGAUGUCAAAAUAUUAUAAAAUUUAGUUUCCAAAUAUUUUUAAUAGUGUAGAUCAAGUCUAAUAAAGCCGAUCAUCGAUUUGAAAACCGCAUCAUUGAAAACAAUUUGGUAGCACGGAGGCCUCCGUGUUACCGAUAGUAUAUAUUAACCUAGCUCAAUAUAUAUAGAUAUGUAUAUAUAGAAUGAGGCUAUUAUGCUUCUGGAAGCACGGAGCCUUCCAUGCUUCUAAGUCGUUUUUGAUGUUGCGACUUUCGAAUCGUCGAUCAGCUCCGUUAAACUUGAUCUAGAAUAUUCGAAGUAUCUAGAAAAUAAAUUUUAUGAUUUUUCAAUAUCAUUUGCCUAGUAAUCGAAAGGGCUCAAAAUUAAUAAUUUUAAAGGUUAUGGUGAGCCGCUUGCAAGUUUAACGUUAUAAAAAUAUUUAAAUCACGUGAAAUUUUGAUAGAAAAUUUUUUAUACUAUAUAAAACAAGAUCAAUAUCUUUGAUCUAAAAUUUUAAUAUCAUAUUAUCAUGUUUUGUAAGAUUUUUAUUUUCAGCCGUUGAUUUUGAGCCCCUU